rnacentral:rRNA from 1 species
GGCGGGAUCACCCGCU